CCUACGGGUGGCAGCAGUGAGGAAUAUUGGUCAAUGGACGAGAGUCUGAACCAGCCAAGUAGCGUGAAGGAUGACUGCCCUAUGGGUUGUAAACUUCUUUUAUAUGGGAAUAAAGUGUUCCACGUGUGGGUUUUUGUAUGUACCUUAUGAAUAAGGAUCGGCUAACUCCGUGCCAGCAGCCGCGGUAAUACGGAGGAUCCGAGCGUUAUCCGGUUUUAUUGGGUUUAAAGGGGGCGUAGGGGGGUUGUUAAGUCAGUUGUGAAAGUUUGGGGCUAAACCGCAAAUUGCAGUUGAAACUGGCAGUCUUGAGUACAGUAGAGGUAGGCGGAAUUCGUGGUGUAGCGGUGAAAUGCUUAGAUAUCACGAAGAACUCCGAUUGCGAAGGCAGCUCACUGGACUGCAACUGACACUGAGGCUCGAAAGUGUGGGUAUCAAACAGGAUUAGAUACCCCAGUAGUC
rnacentral:rRNA from 1 species